CCUAGUUUGAGACCGUGUACAAUUAAAAGUUAUGGAUCACCUCGUGUGAUUAUUAUCGUUUUAGACAGACGCGUGUUUUUAACAGAUGUCGGUGCAAAAUUAAUUGGAUAUCACCCGCGGAUUGAGUUGCAAAGACGAUCAUGGAAUGGGAUGCCUUCAUAGCGGCCAGUUUCUACAGGGAGGAGGUGGUUGGCAGUGCGGAAUCUAAAGAUACUUUGGGACUCAUCGGGAUGAAUUUUAAUCAGGUCAGAGGCACUACUUGAGACAAUGACGGUGUCAUCUGCAUACAAAAGGACCAGAAGCUUAAGCCACAAUAUUGCAGUAUCUGGGUUGAUGAGUUCAACCCCAACAGAUCCAUUUAUAUGCAGGAAUGAAUGAAGGUCAUUUAAGAAAAGCGAGAAAAGUACUGGGGAUAAAUUUUCUCCUUGUCUUACUCCUAUUUCUGACAAAAAGUACUGGGAGCAUUCUCCAUUUAGGGAA